UACGGGGGGGGCAAGCGUUGUUCGGAAUUACUGGGCGUAAAGGGCUCGUAGGCGGCCAACUAAGUCAGACGUGAAAUCCCUCGGCUCAACCGGGGAACUGCGUCCGAUACUGGUGGGCUCGAAUCCGGGAGAGGGAUGUGGAAUUCCAGGUGUAGCGGUGAAAUGCGUAGAUAUCUGGAGGAACACCGGUGGCGAAGGCGACUACCUGGCCUGUUCUUGACGCUGAGGCGCGAAAGCUAGGGGAGCAAACGGG
rnacentral:rRNA from 1 species